rnacentral:rRNA from 1 species
UGUAAGCGUAUACCAAAGUUGUUGCAGUUAAAACGCUCGUAGUCGAAUUUUGGUGUGAGUUAUGGAGACUCCUACUGGAUGUUGAAGUAACUUCGCCUUUGUGGAGGGGGGUGUGGUGGUACUUUAUUGUAUUGCUGCAUUUCCGCCACUGUUUACUGUGAAAAAAUUAGAGUGUUCAAAGCGAGCGUUUGCCAUGAAUACAUUAGCAUGGAAUAAUAGAAUAGGACCUGGUUCUGUUUUAUUGGUUUGUCUGUAUCAGGUAAUGAUUAACAGGGACGGUCGGGGGUAUUUGUAUUCCAGCGUUAGAGGUGAAAUUCUUGGAUCGCUGGAAGACAGACAGCUGCGAAAGCGUCUACCAAGGACGUUUNCAUUGA